ACGGCCACAUGACAUUGAUACAUUGCUUCCCAUACAAUCAUCGAAGUUAAGCAACGUCGGGUCUGGUCAGUAACUAGAUGGGUGACCGCUUUGGAAUACCAGAUGCUGUAAG